GGACUAAAAUGACAUGAUCGACAAAAUUCAAGAACUAACAGUGUAAUUUGCUCUAAAAUAUUUCAAUCAUACAUGACAAUUAUGAUGAAAUGAUAAAAUAAAUUUAACGAUAAAUAACAUCACGUGUUCAAAAUUUUUUAUCCAAGUUAGAUAGGGAUGCAUGUCAAUAUGUUUUCAGUGCAAAUGCUCUUGCCAACAAACACAGUUGUGAUCCAACACCAUUUAGAUUUUCUUUCUUUCUUCCGUUCAGAAUUUUUGAAAUUGUAAAUAAAAUUUUGUUUGGUUUAUGUUUUUGUUUAUAAAAAUUUUCUAAACACAAAAAAACUGGUUUCACAAUUUAAUUUUUGCCCCCCAUUUCUUCCUCUUUCUUCCACCCUUUUCAAUCAUCACCCACUAAUUAUUUCCACCACUUCCGCCAACCACUUUCGGCCACCACUUCCCUUGGUCACCAAUCACCUCCCACUUGUGAUAACCACCUUCGGUCACCAAGCUUUAACUAGCACUUUAGAUGACUGAGCGGCCAUUAGUUCCGAUCGUCAACCACUUACGACCAUGACCUCUCACUAUUGGCAAUCACUUUUGGCCACCACUAACCACAUCCCACCAGUGGCACUUACUUUCGGCCGCCACCUUCGAAGGCAAACAACCACAUCUGGCCAUCAUCUUCAACUGUCUAAACAGACCAAUUCUUUCACUUUUUUCCAAAAUAAGUUUUUUAAAACAUUUACGUCAAAUUUGUUUUUUGUUUUCAUUUUUACCUAAAAUAAACAUAAACAUAUUUAAUAUUUUUUGUAAAAUAAAAAUAAUAAAAUGUAAAAGUUACCAAACCACAUCUAAAUCGUUUCACCUUAAUCUAAAAACACAAUUUGAAAUAUCAGUUUCAAAAAAAUAAAAAUAAAUUAGAAAGUGUAUAGAAUAAUUUUACAAGUCCACGGAUUUUUUUCCUCACUUCUAGCACAGCUGAGAAUAAACUUGGAUUCUAAGAGCAACUCCAAUGGUUUUUCUAUUUGCCUUGCCAAAGCCAAAAAAUAACGUGGCUUCACAAAUGCACGACUCUAAUGGUGUGUCAUUUGCGAUGCCAAAAAAUGGCAAAGUCAAAUCAGUUUUGUAACCAAAAUUAGCUGUUUUUUUGAACCUUCAACUGUUAGUUUCACAACUUCUACAAAUCAAAACUCUACCAUAAAUUUUCAAACCACAGUAAAAUUUAUAAAAUUACAAAAACUCAAUAAAGAUCCUUCUAGAAAUUCAGCUUUCCAAAUUUAAUUUGGAACCCUCAAAUUUUUUGAAUACGAAAAGUUUAUAGAUUGUACAAAAUUUUAGAACAAUUUAGAACCCAAAUUUGAACACAAUUUUAGAACAAUUUACAACGAAAAUUUGAAUUUGGCAUUUGGUUGUGCCAAAAUGGCAAGUCCCUAUUAGAAUGGUAUAACCAAAAAAAUAAGUUUUGUGCAUUGUAGUAAGCCAAAAAAUAAUUUUGACAAAGCUAUUUUAACUUGAGCCAUUGAGGAUCUAACUUCCAAUUUCAAAAACGGUUGUGAGUUUGCUAAAUAAUUUCCAAGCUAUAGUAUUUUAUAAAUAACUAGAAGGCUGAGAGCACAUAAUUUGUGGUUGAAAAAAAUCACGUGCGUUAAAUAUUUAAAAAAAUUUGAAUAAUAGCAUAGCUGACUCUUGUGGGCAUUUUUAAUAUAUAUAUAUAUAUAUGACGUGUCUGCACUAAUUUAAUUGUAAGCUUUAUGUUAUAUAUUAUAAUAUUAAGGGUACACACAUAACGUGUGUAUCAUGACAAUUGUUUAAAGUGCUUAGAUUUCAUAAUUAUGACACUUAUAUUUGAAGCAGUUAAAUAUGAGAGGAACAACUAUCAAGUUUAGAAUUACUUUGGGAAUUUUUUUUUUUUUUUGGGCAAUUUACACUAAUUUAUUUGUAGGUUAAAUAUAAUAGAAUAGAUGAACAACCAAAAGGCCGGUUAUGAUGGGAAGGAUUUGUAUCCAAUUCUCAUAAACGAUUUGGACUAUCUAGUCAAGUCAUUGGGGUCUAUUUCAAUGAUAUGAAUCAUUCAACUUCCAAUUUCUUGUAUGUAGACUAUUAAUUAAAAAAAAUCAGAUAUAUUUGGUGAUUAUACCUAUGUAUUUUCAUCAUUUAUUUAGAGAAAAAAAAAAAAAAGUAAUUAAAUAUGAUUAAAAUUAUCGAACUAAAUAAAUUUUGUCUGUGAAUAAUUUACAUAUAAAUAUCAAAAGAAUAAUAAAUCAGAUUAUCAAAAAUGGGCCAAAAGAAUGAAUGAUCAUAUUAUAAAAAUGGGUCAUGUGAAAGGCCCCCCAAAGGUGAACUUGAUGAGUGGAAGCCUUUUUCUGUUGUAAUUGAAGGAAAACCCUACCCCUCUCUUUGGGCGAGAAUUUAGCGGAAGGAAACCCUACCCCACCUUUUGUGGGUGUGUUUUUUUUUUGUUUUUUUAUCUUUUACUGCGAGUCCCUGUCUCCAUGGCUGACUGAAGAGAGAAUAUCAAAGAGGAAGUCUGAGUAUCAAAAGAGAAAAAAGAUUGGUUUAGGAAAGAAGCAACCGGUCGUUCUCCUUGAUGGUAUAUAUCUGUAUUUCUCUUUCCGGUUCGCAUGCAAUUCCUCCUAUGUAGUUAUAGAAUUGCACAACAAUGAAACGUGUAACUAGCAAGUAGCAAGAGAGUGGUUAUGUUCACCUCGCCUCGCCUCGUCUCGCCUCUACAAAAUUAAAAAAGAAAAGAAAAAGAAAACCAGAGAACUAAGAAGACAACAAUGGAGCAUUAAAAACCACCAUUUCUGUCUUUCAUGUCCUUGUUUCUUCGUUCUUCCAUUUAGACGGCAAAUGUCAAAAGCUAUCACCUUUUUCCUUUGAAGUUAUCUGAGCUAAUUUAAUAAUGUGUCAUACAAAAGUCUACAUUGUGGUUUCGUGGUGCCUAUCUUGACAUACUUCCCAUUUGAUUGCAUUAGGGCUUCCCACUCCUUUGCUUAGUGCCACAGGCAUUUGAAGCCUUCUCAACCCAACAAAUAUGCCCAACAAAGUAAACGUCAAUACAUAAAAAAAAAAAAUUACACUUAUGCUUCUUUGUUAUAUUAUUGGUUUUGUAAAUAGUAAAUACUAAAAAUCUGUACAAAUACAAAAGAAGCAGGACACCUACUUCAUAGUAAUAAGAAAGAGAGAGUAUAACAACAAUAAUUGUUUUAAGAAACUGACACUUAUUUUGAAAUUAAAAAUUAUAAGAAUCCGAUAAGAAACUGUUUUCAUAUCACCGAAUACGUAAAAUUCACUAUUUUUUUGUUAAUAAACUGACACACUUAUGCUUGUCCAAAGGCUAGUUUUGAAUUUUCUUUCAUCAUUCAACUUCAUGACUGGUAUGGUCCUAGCUAUUUCAAUUGGAAUUUUUAGUUAAUUGCUUGAUUCAUUGUUAAGAGGUAAUUUAUUGGUUUCACGGAUUAAAUUAUAGUUUCUUUGACGUGUAUAACGUUGAUUAUUAUGCUAAUUGUGGUCAUUUAGGUUAUCGCCUUCGUGGUGGAGUGAAAAGCCUGCCAAACUUGCCGGCCUAGGUUUGACAUCUUUUUGUUCAAUAGGAUUGGAACCCUUUACUUUUGCCGGGUAGCAUCCAAGCUUAUCCAAUCUAAGGGGCUUGGAAAUAGAGGGUUCCAAGAUUUAUGAUGAAGAUAAGGGUGCUAAGAUGAAUGGGAGCCAUAUAAUGGGCUUUGUUCCUCUAUGGAUGCUGAUAUGACAGCAUUCUAAAAGUCACUUGUGGUAUACAUUGUUGAGCUCAUUUCAAGACAACUUAAGCUUUUGAGCUUGAUGUAUUUAUUGAGCUCAUUUCUUAACAUCUCAAGUUUUUGGGACUAGUGGUGAUCUAAUAGUUCCCCCCUAUCCGAUCAAUACAUAUGGUAUGUACUUGUGUCUAUGUGGACCUAAGAAAGAGAGAUUUAUAUUUUUCUUUUAACUGUUUUAAAUUAUAAUACUAAAUUCCAGACCUUGUGUCCAUUUCUUCUAAUUGACCUUGAAAUAAAGACUAUGAUCACUUGGACUA